rnacentral:rRNA from 1 species
AGCAGCCGCGGUAAUUCCAGCUCCAAUAGCGUAUAUUAAAGUUGUUGCAGUUAAAAAGCUCGUAGUUGAAUUUCGGGAUCAAUUUGCUGGUCGUGCCUCUGGUACGUACUGGUAUUAUUGGUUUCUCCCUUCUGACGAACCAUGAUGUCAUUAAUUUGAUGUCGUGGAGAAUCAGGACUGUUACUUUGAAAAAAUUAGAGUGUUUAAAGCAGGCAUUAGCUUGAAUACAUUAGCAUGGAAUAAUGAAAUAGGACGUUUGAUCCUAUUUUGUUGGUUUCUAGGAUUGACGUAAUGAUUAAUAGGGAUAGUUGGGGGCAUUAGUAUUCAAUUGUCAGAGGUGAAAUUCUUGGAUUUAUUGAAGACUAAACUACUGCGAAGGCAUUUGCCAAGGAUGUUUUCAUUAAUCAAGAACGAAAGUUAGGGGAUCGAAGACGAUCAGAUACCGUCGUAGUCUUAACCAUAAACUAUGCCGACUAGGGAUUCGGAUGAUGUUAAUUUUUAAUGACUCAUUC